UGGAAGCUUACAUAGACAAAUGACACUACCCAGAAAGAAUAACCAGAUAAUAUCCACAACAAGCAAUUAUGAUUGGGACUCUCAGAAUAAGGGGGACGUGGUGGGGGCACCAGAGCUCAGCAUCAAAAGGCUGUGAGAUAGUCCUCAGACCUCACAAAGGGAGCACACCACCCGGAUACAGGUCAUAAAUCUAAGGAGCCAUGAAAAGGCUAAUUCUGGAAGUGGGAAAAGAAGGUACAGAGUGGAGUGGCUCACUAUUGCUUCCAUGGAGGCAGGAGCCCAAGAACCCCAGCUCCUGGUCUGGUGCCACCAUCAAAGAGCAGAGUACAGGAGGGUUUCCUUGGAGCUGCAAGCCAGUCAACAAGCCACCACCCCACCCAAAAGACCAGGCAGCCAGGCCCACGACGGAAUUUUAAAUAUUCGAGUUCAAUUUGGAACAACUGACCUAGCUGUAAACAUCUAGUGGAUGAUAGAAACACAAACCUUCAGCCUCUAUUGGUAUUGUGUGAAGCCCCCGUGGACAAUCAAGGAGCAAAGGGCAUCAAAAUGAAGCAUAACCAUCUCUAUUCAGAGAACAAUUGCCAAUGGUGUGUGUUUCCCCCUGAAAGGAGAAGAUCAAAAGGAAAAUACCAAAGUGCGUUUCCCAGACUGGCUGAGUUACACCUGCCUGGCUGACCCCACAGGGCCAAGGACUCUGAAGCAGAAAUAUUUCCUCUGAUGCAGGAGUCGCAGGACUGUGAAGGUGUAGCUGCCUUCUGAGAGGCCCCCAGACAUCAAAUUGCCAGAUUUGACACAUCGCAUCCCAACAGAGAACCAGGUAGGCACUGUCUUUGAUUCCCGAGAUUGCUGAAGAUGAAGUAUCAUCAAGGGCGAUCGAUAAUUCUUGUCGACUAGAAGAGAAUGGGAGGAGGCAACCCAGAUAUUUUUAUGGUUUACACAUUAACCUUAAAUCUAUCACAAACCUGUCGCUUCAAGCUACCAUAUAUACAGCAAGAAAAACAAAAAGCAGAGAAAUGGAAGUAAAACAAACAGGUGUAUGGAAUCGCGCCUAGCAGUGGGGCAGCACCUGGACGUAGGUUAUUUUAGGUAGUCCUUGCGAUAACCCUGCAGGGCCCAUACUAGUGACCUCGUUAUCUAGAAGAUGAAACAGAAAUAGAAAUGAAAUAUUUUCCUCAAAGUUGUCCCAUCGAUCUCUUGUACCAGGACUUGGAUACAAGAUGAAAACUCCAGGUACAUUUUGUUCUGGGCUUGUCGUGUAGAGAAUGCAAUGCAUAACCCCAUAAAAGUCCCUAAAUUAUUGGACCUCUUUUUGUUUUUUUUUCCCCUUGGAAGGUGAUGACUUCUAAGGGCAUUGCCAGUUCCAGAAGCCUUCCCACGCACAUUGAUCACUGAAAAUACAAGCAAUCAAGAGAAAUAAAAAAAGCCAAUGGCAUGACCA
rnacentral:lncRNA from 1 species